GACCCAGGGUUUGUGCCCAUCUCCAGCCCAGGGCAGCUCCCCUGUAAGCUGGGUGAGCUACUGAAGCCAAGGCGGGAGGCAGCUGACAACACCCACGGCCCAUGCGGAGGUGGUGGAAAGGCUGGACUCAGCAGCAACACCAAAUCCCGGACCAGGCAGACACCACCCAAGACUGAGGGGCUCGUGCCAGAGCGGUGGCCACAGGGCUGGAUGGUCGCUGAGACAGAGAUGGAAGCCAGGACAGGGGAGGCCACCGGGCCCACAUAGAGACCAGAACCCCAUCCUGAGAACAGUGAAGCCAGGCACUUAGAGGAAGACCAAAUGCUGCCAGGACACGGAUUGUCCAGGGAUUACAUUCCAGCAUCUUAUUAGAGGACUGAAGCAGAGGGUGCUGUUUCAACGCCACCACCAGGAGAGAGGCAGAGGGGCUGUGCUGUGCUGGAGUCCUCAGGGAGGGAGUGACCUCGACCCUGUCUGUGCUGCAAGCUGACUCCAGCCCUGGGGUCAGCAGCACCCGGCAAACAGCAGCAGGAGGAGCCGCUAGAGCAGCUGCUCAUGGGCAGAGCUGCCCUUGGGCAGCUCCUGCCACCACCCCCUCCCCAGGGGAGCCCAAGGCAGGGGAGGCUCAGCAUGGAAUGAAACAGGGGAGUGAGGGACACAAGGAGGUGGGAAGUGGGAGGGUCCCAGCCCCACCAAGUACGCAGAGACCCGCUCGUCGUCCUGGACACCACAGGGGCACCUGGAGGCUGGGAGACCAGGUCCUCUGUGCAUGGGCCUGGGAGAAAGACCUGCCCUAAGGGUGAUGCAGAGGCUACAGGUGCUGCAGGCGCCAGCGCCCACUCUAGACAUCAGCCUCCAGGUUGACUAAGGGUCAGGUCAUGUUUGAAACCAUGCUUGGCUGGACCAGGACCCAUGGCAAGAGCACCUGGGCACCAGUGUUCAGCCCUGGUCUGCAGGAAGGACAGCAGACUUCAGGACCCCACAGCAUGGCAGUGCUGACCAUUUCACCCACUUGGCCUCCUUGAGAAAUACGGAUGGGGAGCCCUCUGGGGAUGGGCAACGCCUUCCAGGACAGGCUCAGUUCUGGUCCCCUGCUUUUUGAGGUUGGGUUAAAAUGCCGACCAUGGCAGAGGAGACACAGCUCAGGUUCCCACACCUCACUUUUCACAGCCUCCAAGGGCAGCAGUGCACGUGGAGGAGACGUCUCCCAUGAGGCCAAGGCCUCUAGUGCUCACCGAUGCCCUCUGCGAAGUUGGGGUAGAACUCAUCAGUGAAGAGGGGCUCGGGCAGCUCACGGAAGUACAGCUUCAGCGUGCCUGCAAUGGCGUUCACGUCCAUCUCGCUCAUCAUCACCGACACGUCCUUGUUAUCUGGAAAGAGCACGGAAAUGCAGCAGCCUCCUUGAGGAUCCCGAUAAAUGAAGAAAAGACAGAGAGAAGGAUGUGACAUGCCUGGGCCAUGGAGCACUCUGAGAUCUCAUCGCGGACACCACUGCCCACACCUCCAUCCCGCCCUGCGCAGGCCGACACUCACUGACGUUGAAGGCUGCCUUCAGUGCCUGGAUGUCUGCGGCCACUCCAGACACGUGGUAGAUGCCCACCUCCUCCAUCCCUCGGUGCUUGAUCUCCUCCACACCCUGGCACCUGAUGUAGGGCACCUUGGACCUCUCUCUCCUGCGGGAGGAGGGAAUGUUCUCAGUGUCCUGACAGCCCUGCUUGGGCCAUAACACAGGAGACCUGCUCCCUAUCUGCACACCCAGAGGCGGGAUGAGGAUGGUGACGAAGGUACCCAGGUCUGGGGCUGCACACAGAGCCUUCUGCAUGCCUGUCCUCCCUCUGCAAGCUCUGUCCUCAUUGCAUGUACUUUCUCAGGAAAUUUUCAAGCGGCCAGAACCCCUGCAAAUCACACAUGAUCUUUGCGGGAAGGUCAGGAGGCCUGUCUAAGUAAAGUCAGCACAGGAAGGGCAUCUGACAGAUUCCAGGCCUGGGGUUAGCAGCCUGUGCCCCCAGCUGGGAGAUCAGACCCGGUGUUGGUCCUGCCACCCACGUGCUGUGUGAGAGGAGAAUCCCCGACCCCUGCCCUGGGCCUGGGCCUUAACACACAUCCGACGAAUGAAUGAAGGGUGGCCUCAGCACCAGUGCUCCAAGUCCUGCGAUGCUAAGUGCUUUUCUCCUCUGAUUCUUAGCAAUGGACAAUUCCAACACCACCACACAGGACACUAGAGUAAGAAUACUUCAAAGUUAGAACACAGUGCUGUGCAGAGGCCUUAACUUUAGUUCUGUUUUGCAACUGGAUUUAGGAGCACAUCAAAGCUGCUUCUCAAGCCACCCUCAUUAGCAGGGCUUAUUUGGGGGAGCUGUUGAUGGAGUCCUCGCUGCUCAUGCCCAGAGCCCUCCCAGAGUGCUAUGCAAGUGGCUGCCGUGCAGUUGGGGGUGAGGUGUGGUGUUCAGACACAGAUAGGAGUCCGGGGUAUGACUGAUGGAUGCCCCGGCCCAUGUGACCAGCAAGGUCAGGGGCCUAGCCAGAUUCCAUUCUGGGGAAGCAAAUGAAUUCUCAGAGGAAGUGAUCUGUGUCUGCAUGAACUGCUCUGAAACCAACAAACAGGCUUCUCUUGGCAACUGACUCGUGACAAAGGGUUCAAGGUCAUUUAAAAAAAAAAAGGGAGCGGGGAGGCAGUGGGUCCUGGAAAAGUAAAUUGUUUAUUUUACAAUAAGAAAUUGAUUGCAUAUGUUUUUUUUACAAUGGUGGAAAAUUAGAAGUGAUUGUGAAAAUGAUGUCUACCCGCCUUGCUGAUGAGUAGGAUGUGAUUUGGCUCUUUAGGAAACUGAAUUUGCAGAACUUAAGAAUAUUGAUUUAUAAAGGGCAUGGCCAUUGACCCAGUCCAUCUUAUGCAAAUCUGGAUGCCAUAAAUAAUAUUUAAAAAUGAAAGUAUUGGGGUGGAGGUUGCAGUGAGCGGAGAUUGCGCCACUACACUCCAGCCUGGUUGACAGAGUGAGACUCUGUCUCAAAACAAAACAAAACAAAAAAAAAAGAAGGUGAAGCCAUUCCCAACAUUGCUCAUCAAAUUAUGACCAUAAAUUUCUAGGAUCAGACUAACGGCUAAAGAGACUGACCCAUCAACACCAGGCAGAGAAUAAAGCAGAUUUUUUUUUGUUUUAGAGAGCCUCUAGGAACUUGAAUAAUGCAUAUGCCACACUCUUAAGACCCGAUGGGUCUUAAUCAGGGAUGUUCAUUAAAAUGCUAGAAAACUGUAAAGACUUCUAGGUCCCAUCCAAGGAGAUUUUGCUUCUGAUUGACUGGAUAGUGGCCUGGCCAUUGGUAUUUUGAAAAAUCCCUCCAAGUGAUUCUUUUUCAUCCCAGAUAGAAAACCCUAAAUUAAAGGUGAAAAAACCAGACACCAAGACGCAUUUAAAUAAAUGUCAACUUUAACUCCACAAAGAA